rnacentral:rRNA from 1 species
UACGUAGGGUGCAGGCGUUAAUCGGAAUUACUGGGCGUAAAGCGUGCGCAGGCGGUUUCUUAAGUCAGAUGUGAAAGCCCCGGGCUUAACCUGGGAACUGCGUUUGAAACUGGGAGACUAGAGUGUGGCAGAGGGGGGUGGAAUUCCACGUGUAGCAGUGAAAUGCGUAGAGAUGUGGAGGAACAUCGAUGGCGAAGGCAGCCCCCUGGGUUAACACUGACGCUCAGGCACGAAAGCGUGGGGAGCAAACAGG